CAUCGUUUGUUUAAAACUUUCAAGCACAAGGAAAUGCCACCAACCUGUGCACACAAUCAUAUUCAUCUUUGGUUUCUUCGCUACCCCGGGAUUUUGUGUGCUGAAAACUUUCAUUAAUCCAAACUUUGUCCCCAAAAUAAUUUCUCCUCUGUUCUGAAAAUAAGUGAUGAUCAUCCAGGCAACAACAACUUCAAAUUUUGGUUCAUUCCCAAUAUGCCCAACAACCAGGCACCAAUCUCAAUCCCGCAAAAUCAUCCCAUUGAAUCUUGUUUCGUCUCAAAAAGGCCAAGAGUUUACCUCAGUAACUCACAAAGGUGACAAAAUGUGCGAGUGUUUUGAUUUGCAUAAAGAGCUAGUCCCAUAUGGAGAUGCUUGGAAUUGGCAGAAAGUGAUUGUUAGAGAGAAAAGCGGGUUGAUUGAAAGGAAUGAAGAAUGCCCAGAUACACUGAUUGUUUUGCAGCAUCAACCUGUGUAUACAAUGGGUACUGGUAGUUCUAUAGAAUACCUGAAUUUUGACAUAAAUAAUGCUCCUUUUGAGGUUUAUCGUACUGAACGAGGUGGAGAAGUUACCUAUCACGGGCCUGGCCAGCUAACUAUGUACCCAAUUAUCAAUCUUCGAAAUCACAAGAUGGAUCUUCAUUGGUACCUCAGGGAACUUGAGGAGGUGGUCAUUCGUGUUCUUUCCUCAACAUUUUCUAUCAAGGCUUCCAGGAUUGAGGGUUUAACUGGAGUUUGGGUUGGAGAUCAGAAACUGGCUGCAAUUGGUAUAAAAGUAUCUCAAUGGAUAGCAUAUCAUGGUUUAGCACUGAAUGUCACUACAGAUUUGGCACCUUUUAAUUUGAUAGUUCCAUGUGGGAUCAGGAACCGGAAGGUUGGAAGCAUAAAGGGGUUACUGGAAGAAUCCUGCUCAAAUGCAAAGGCACAUCAUUUUGAUUAUUCACAACUGAUUGAUAUUACUAGCCAAUCCUUGAUCAGGGAGUUUUCAGAAGUUUUUCAGCUUAAGAUCCAACAAAGAAGUGUACCUAUUUUGGAGUUUUUGGUGAAGAAAACAGAAAGCUUAUAACAGGAAAGGGAAUUAACUUGAAUCCGGUCUGUGAUAUUGAAGCAAAGAAAAAGACCCCCGGGUCCUUUUCCAGAGCAAUAUUCAUGUGGAGCUUCAGCAAGAUAUUUCUGGUUGGGGCUGCUCCAUCGUGGAUAAGGCAUGAGUAUCUUUGCAGAGCUUGUGCAUUUCUUCAAAUUAUAACGCAUUCUUUAAUGGUGGAAUUAGCCAAUAGAAGCUCAAAAGGAAUUUGAAAACCAAAAACCCAAAGAAAUAUAUUUUCAAUUUUUCCCAUUUCUCAUGUAAUGGCUAGUUCUCUGAGUUUGUUUUUAACAACCGAGUAUUAAAGCUGUAACCAAACAUUCUCCUGAUCCCCUCAAGCUCGUUUCUUGUGCUAUUGAGUGUUAGCAGUAGAAGUUUCCAAGUGACAAAUAAUAAAGAUUUAGCAGUGGUUUCAAGAAUUUAUUAGCGAGAAGUUGCUAGUGUUCAAGGAGAUAACCAGGUGAAGCCAGAAGUUGAGCAAUUAUGCAAAUAAGGGAAAGUGGAGGUAGCUUUUGAAAUCAUGGAUGAAAAGGAGAAGAAUGGAGGUUAUGCAGACUUGCUUGAUAUUGUAAGUUGAUACAAGCUUGUGCUGAUUUAAAAUUGCUGGAACCAGGGAAAAGGGUAGAUGAGUAUGUUAUGAGGUCUUCGUCAAAGCUUUAGACCAGUGUUGUCCUGAAUAAUCUGGCGGACAUAUACUGUAAACUGGGCGAUGCAAAUGGGGCAAGAGAGAUAUUUGAGCAAAUGGGAGCACGAAAUUUGGAUUCUUGGAACAAGAUGCUGUUGGGCUUGACAGAGAAUUACAAAGGAGAAAGGCUCUUGAAAUCUUUUCCCAGAUGAAAGAUGGGAUUAGGCCAUAUGGGUCUAGCUUUGUUGUUGUUUUAAUGGCUUGCAUGUGCUUAGGGGCAGAGAAGGAAGUACAUAAGCAUUUUGAGUCAAUGAGCAGGGGUUACGGGAUCACUCUCGUAGAAGAGCAUUAUGAAGCUACGGUUGAUCUUCUUGGAAGAUCAGGAAAGAUAGUGGAGUGCAAUGGAGUUGGCUGCAAAUAUACCAAUUGACUCAAACACCAGAGUUUGGGAGACUCUACAGAAGCACUCGAAAGCCAUAACACAAGGGCAGCUGGGUUAUUCUGUGUCACCAUAAGGGCAAAGGACAGCUUUAACAUAAAUUAUAAAAAAGAGCGACUUCAGACGGGAUCAAGGCAUAUGAAAAGUUGUGGAAGGUAAGGGAUGCUGGAUAUUUGCCGGACAAGAGGUCUGUGUUUCAUCAUUUCAUGAUCUUGACCAAGAGGCGAAGGAGAAGUCCUUGUUCUACCACAUUGAAAGGAUAGCCAUUGUUUAUGGGCUUAUCAAUACUCCUCCUGGGACCUCCUUAAGGAUAAUGAAAAACCUAAGGAUUUGUGGGGACUGCCAUAAUUUCAUCGAGAUCCUUUCCAAAAUGGAAGACCGAUAGAUUAUUGUGAGAGACAAUAAGAGGUUUCAUCAUUUCAAGGCUGGAAACUGCUCCUAAAUCUUCAAACUUUUCCCAGAGCCAAAAUAUUUAUUCUCUAUGAUUUAGGGAUAAAGAAGCAUAAUUUUGCUUCAAA